rnacentral:rRNA from 1 species
GACAGAGGAUGCAAGCGUUAUCCGGAAUGAUUGGGCGUAAAGCGUCCGUAGGUGGCUUUUUAAGUCCGCCGUCAAAUCCCAGGGCUCAACCCUGGACAGGCGGUGGAAACUACCAAGCUGGAGUACGGUAGGGGCAGAGGGAAUUUCCGGUGGAGCGGUGAAAUGCGUGAGAGAGUCGGAAAGAACACCAACGGCGAAAGGCAA